rnacentral:rRNA from 1 species
CACGUAUGCAACUUACCCUAUACUUGGGCAUAGCCCGGAGAAAUCCGGAUUAAUAUCCAAUAUGAUGCAGGAAAGCAUUUUCUUGCGUUGAAAGCUCCGGCGGUAUAGGAUGGGCAUGCGGCCGAUUAGCUUGUUGGUGAGGUAAUAGCUCACCAAGGCAACGAUCGGUAGGGGGCCUGAGAGGGUGAUCCCCCACACUGGUACUGAGACACGGACCAG